CGAGCAAUCUGCCCUUCUCAUCGGAAUAAGCGUUGGAAACGACGUCUAAUGCCGAAUACGACCUCCUUUCGCAUGAUCGGAGGUGGAAAGCUCCGGCGGAGAAGGAUGAGCUCGCGGCCUAUCAGCUAGUUGGUGUGGGUAAUGGCCCACCAAGGCGACGACGGGUAGCCGGCCUGAGAGGGUGACCGGCCACACUGGGACUGAGACACGGCCCAGACUCCGUACGGGAGCAG
rnacentral:rRNA from 1 species